AUUGAACGCUAGCGGGAUGCUUUACACAUGCAAGUCGAACGGCAGCGCGGACUUCGGUCUGGCGGCGAGUGGCGAACGGGUGAGUAAUGUAUCGGAACGUGCCCAGUAGCGGGGGAUAACUACGCGAAAGCGUAGCUAAUACCGCAUACGCCCUACGGGGGAAAGCAGGGGAUCGUAAGACCUUGCACUAUUGGAGCGGCCGAUAUCGGAUUAACUAGUUGGUGAGGUAACGGCUCACCAAGGCGACGAUCCGUAGCUGGUGUGAGAGGACGACCAGCCACACUGGGACUGAGACACGGCCCAGACUCCUACGGGAGGCAGCAGUGGGGAAUGUUGGACAAUGGGGGCAACCCUGAUCCAGCCAUCCCGCGUGUGCGAUGAAGGCCUUCGGGUUGUAAAGCACUUUUGGCAGGAAAGAAACGUCGCGGGCUAAUACCCCGUGGAACUGACGGUACCUGCAGAAUAAGCACCGGCUAACUACGUG
rnacentral:rRNA from 1 species